AUACGGGGGGGGCGAGCGUUGUCCGGAAUUAUUGGGCGUAAAGGGCGCGUAGGCGGAAUAGUAAGUCAGAAGUGAAAAUCAUGGGCUUAACCCAUGACCUGCUUUUGAUACUGCUAUUCUCGAGUGCGAGAGAGGAAAGUGGAAUUCCCGGUGUAGCGGUGAAAUGCGUAGAUAUCGGGAAGAACACCGGUAGCGAAGGCGGCUUUCUGGCUCGCAUCUGACGCUGAGGCGCGAAAGCGUGGGGAGCAAACAGGAUUAGAAACCCCAGUAGUCC
rnacentral:rRNA from 1 species